CACAUGCAAUUAAAUUUUAUAGUUUCUUUAUGGUAAAUAUAUCAGUUUUGUGACCCAUUGUAUAGGGUAUAUAAGGCAACACACACCGCCUUAUCCCAAACUCUGUUCUUAAGGCUUACAUUUUGAUAUUCUGCAUUCCAAAGGUCAAGAUGAGGGCAACAGUGCUUUUUACACUGCUUCUGGUCUUCAGCCUCGCUAUGACGACCACUUUCGUCGUGGAGGCCGUUGAGAAAAAUGGGGACAGCAAGAGCGAUGGCGAUAAAGAUCGGAAGUCUGACGAGAGCAAAGAUUCACAGAAAGCGAAUGAAAAGACGUUUGGAAUAAGCAGGUUUUGAUACAUGGGGUGAAAGUAAAGUUUUGGACCCUUUACGGCUUGGACAUCGAAACGAAAUUGACUUUUUAGCGUAUUGUUAUGUAGAUAUUCAUAUUAAAGCAUUCACAAAACA